AUUGUUUUUCCUGGUUCUGGCCCUUCAUCACUCUGCUGUUGCACCUUCUUCAGUGUCUGUGUUCUGAUCAGACUGUGGGCUACUGGAAUGCAGGCACCAGCUUGAGUCAUCCUUGUGAAUCUGGGGUCUUCUGCCGAUUUCAGAGACUCCUCCACUCUCUGGGAAUGGCACGGACUCCCUCUUCUGCGACAGUGGCAGCUCGGCAACUAGCGCUCCGUGUGUGUCCCGCCUGGUCGCUGGCCACCAACUGUGGGCCAGCAAGAAUGGCCGCCACGUCCUGGGCCUGAUUGAGGACUAUGAGGCCCUGCUCAAACAGAUCGGCCAGGGACAGAGGCUCCUUGCUGAAAUGGACGUUCAAACCCAAGAGGCUCCCAGCUCCACAAGUCAAGAGCUGGGAACAAAGGGUCCAUACCCAGCACCACUGAGCAAGUUUGUGAGCAGUGUGAGCACAGCCAAGCUGACCCUGGAAGAGGCCUACAGGCGGCUGAAGCUUCUCUGGAGAGUCUCGCUCCCCGAGGAUGGCCAGUGUCCCCUUCACUGUGAGCAGAUUGGAGAAAUGAAGGCAGAGGUCACCAAACUACAUAAAAAAUUGUUUGAACAAGAAAAGAAGUUGCAAAACACCAUGAAGCUUUUGCAGCUGAGCAAGCGCCAGGAAAAAGUCAUCUUUGAUCAGUUGGUUGUAACCCACAAAAUCCUUCGGAAGGCCAGAGGAAACCUGGAGCUUAGGCCUGGGGGAGCCCAUCCAGGAACAUGCAGUCCCAGCAGACCAGGCUCCUGAGAAGAACUUUCAGCCAAUAAAGCUUGUGCUUCCCCCA
rnacentral:sRNA from 1 species